rfam:Solanum tuberosum scf00427_47, whole genome shotgun sequence.
AACAUGGCCCUGUAGAAAGCAUAUAGCCUUCUUAGGAGUCAAUAUAGCCUUGUAGGCAACUCAUUAUCCGUGAAGGAAUGACGGCUCGUGGUCUACCACUUUUGCUCAGUAGUUGGUCAAAAAUAUGUGGACUUCAAUCGAUGGAACGACCCACGGUCCAUAGGUCUAAGCGGGAUCUGCCCAUUGUCGUGAUGAUUCAUGAUAACUCGACGGAUCGCACGACCAUCGUGACGGUGACGCAUCAUUCACAUUUCUGCCCUAUCAACUUUCGAUGGUACGAUAGUCGCCUACCAUGGUAGUGACAGGUGAUGGAGAAUUAGGGUUCAAUUCCGGAGGGGGAGCCUAAGAAACGGCUACCACAUCCAAGGAAGGUCGUAGGUGCGAAAAUUACCCAAUUCUGACACGGGGAGGUAGUGACAAUAAAUAACAGUACCGGGCACUACGAGUUUGGUAAUUGCAAUGAGUACAAUCUAAAUCCCUCAAUGAGGAUCCAUUGGAGGGCAAGUCAAGUGCUAGCAGUCGCGGUAAUUCUAGCUCCAAUAGCGUAUAUUUAAGUUGUUGUAAUUAAAAAGCUCGUAGUUGGACUUUGGGAUGGGCCAGUCGGUACGUCCUAGGUGUGCACCGGUCAUCUCGUCCCUUCUGUCGGCGAUGUGCUCCUGGCCUUAAUUGGCUGGGUUGUGCCUCCGGCACUUUUACUUUUAACAAAUUAGAGUGCUCAAAGCAGCCUACACUCUGUAUACAUUAGCAUUGGAUAAAAUUAUAGGAUUUCGUUCUUAUUACAUUCGCCUUCGGAAUCGAAUUAAUGAUUAACAGGGACCAUUGGGGGCAUUCAAAUUUCAUAGUCAGAGGUGAAAUUUUUAGAUAUAUGAAAGACGAACAACUGCGAAAUCAUUUGCCAAGGAUGUUUUAAUUAAUCAAGAAUGAAAGUUGGGGGCUCGAAGACGAUCAUAUACCGUCUUAGUCUCAACCAAGGCUAAAACUUAAAGAAAUUGACGGAAGGGCACCACCAGGAGUGGAGCCUGCGGCUUAAUUUGACUAUACACGGGGAAACUUACCAGGUCCAUACAUUAGUAAGGAUUGACAAACUGAGACCUCUUUCUUGAUUCUAUGGGUUGGUGGUGCAUGGCUCUUCUUAGUUGGUGGAGCGAUUUGACUGGUUAAUUCUGUUAACAAAACCUCAGCCUAAUAACUAUCUAUGUGGAGGUAUCCCUUCGCGGACAGCUUCUUAGAGGGACUAAGUACUUUUAGGCUGCGGAAGUUUGAGGCAAUAACAGGUUUGUGACGCCCUUAGAUAUUAUCGGUCGGACACGUGCUACACGGAUGUAUUCAAUAAGCUUAUAGCCUUGGCCGAUAGGCCUGGGUAAUCUUUGAAAUUUCAUAGUGAUUGGGAUAGAUCAUUGAAAUUGUUGGUCUUCAACGAGGAAUACCUAACUCGCGUCGACUAUGUCCAUCCCCUUUGUACACACCGCCCGUCGCUCCUACCGAUUGAAUGAUUGGGUGAAAUGUUUGCAUUGCGGCGACGUGGGCGGUUCGGCAACCGCAACAUCGUUAGUAGUCCAUUGAACCUUAUCAUUUAGAGGAAGGAGAAGUCGUAACAAGGUUUCCGUAGUUGAACCUACGAAAGG